UACGUAGGGGGCAAGCGUUGUCCGGAUUUAUUGGGCGUAAAGAGCGUGUAGGCGGCCAGACAGGUCCACUGUGAAAACUCGAGGCUCAACCUCGAGAGGUCGGUGGAAACCGUCUGGCUAGAGUCCGGAAGAGGAGAGUGGAAUUCCCGGUGUAGCGGUGAAAUGCGCAGAUAUCGGGAAGAACACCCGUGGCGAAGGCGGCUCUCUGGGACGGUACUGACGCUGAGACGCGAAAGCGUGGGGAGCGAACAGG
rnacentral:rRNA from 1 species